rnacentral:rRNA from 1 species
UAGGGAAUCUUCGGCAAUGGGGGCAACCCUGACCGAGCAACGCCGCGUGAGUGAAGAAGGUUUUCGGAUCGUAAAGCUCUGUUGUAAGAGAAGAACGUGUGUGAGAGUGGAAAGUUCACACAGUGACGGUAACUUACCAGAAAGGGACGGCUAAUUACGUGCCAGCAGCCGCGGUAAUACGUAGGUCCCGAGCGUUGUCCGGAUUGAUUGGGCGUAAAGCGAGCGCAGGCGGUUUAAUAAGUCUGAAGUUAAAGGCAGUGGCUUAACCAUUGUUCGCUUUGGAAACUGUUAAACUUGAGUGCAGAAGGGGAGAGUGGAAUUCCAUGUGUAGCGGUGAAAUGCGUAGAUAUAUGGGGACAAACCGGUGGAGAAAGCGGCUCUCUGGUCUGUAACUGACGCUGAGGCUCGAAAGAGUGGGGAGCAAACAGG